AUCUCUCAAACCUCGAAAGUUUGCGCUUUCGAUGGCUUUGGACUUGGAGGUCUAUGCCGGCGCGAGUCGGCUCCUCUCUAAAUGCAUUAGCUAGGAUCAUACGUGUCGAUCUGCGGUGUGAUAAACGUCUACGUCGCGGCAUUGGCACCUCGCUUUUUUUUUGCGGGCUGGUCUGGCUUCUAAUCGCCUUCGGGCAACACAUCUGAC
rnacentral:misc_RNA from 1 species